UCGUGCCGCCCGCCACCUCUUAAAGGGGCAGUGGCGCGCAGGGCAUUGUGGGGGUCUGGCGGCUGUGGUGAGGCGCGGGUGUUCUCGGGUGCGGGUCCCAGGGGAGCGUCCCCUCAGCGGUAGCCUCGCCCCGCUGGGCUGGGUGGUUCCGCUCCGCGAGUGGACGGUGGAUGUGGCAGCUUGUGUUACCCGUGCGUACUAGGGAUCGGAGAGGCCGCAGCUCCAGCGCUGCCUGCCAGAAGCAGUCAUGGUGAAAAAUACAAGCGCAGCAGUGCUCCCUCUAACCCCUUCGUCAGUGAUGUGCAAAACAGAUUCCAUUUAUAAUCUAGUGUAUUAAGUGAUAUUUGAGCAAUCCUGGAUCGCUCUUGUCUCAUGGCACUGAGGAGUAGGUCUGCUUUGUAUAGGCCUGCUGUGGCUGCUUCAGGAUGAAAAGCAGCAGCCUUGGCAAACUUGUUAGAGCUGUGUGGGAUAAAUUCAACUCCCCACAUUACCCAUAAUGUUAGGUACAGCCUUGGUAUGACCUGGAGUAUAAACGUUGCAUCCUCCCAUCAUGAAUCUCCACUAAAAAAGCUAACUGUGUAGAAUGUCAGCACAGGAGUUACUGCCUUAUCCCAAAGGCUUCGUGUAGGGGCUAAAGAGAGUCGGUAAUAACAGCAAAUGUUCCCCCCUCCGCCCUGCCAGCCCUCAGUGAAUGUGCAUGGAGAUGUACCUGCUCCCUGGGAACUCAUGAGCAGCUGGAGCUCUGCUGGGCCCUGAAGUAUGGAACCUCCCCACCGCCGCUGAGCAACAAAGUCAGAAAGUCUCGGUCUCACUGGUUUGGUGUUUGGCCACCUGACUAGCCGAGCCCCCUUCUCCUAAGCAUGUGGCAAAUCCAUGAAAGGUGUAGUGAAGUGUGAUGCUAUUUCAUUGAAAGUUAAUCUGGUAGUUUUGAAAAGUUCCCUGACUUUCAGUGUGGUGCAUACAAAUGAUGAGGUAGGUCAGGGCGUCACUAAAUAGAAGAUAACAAUUUAUUGGAGGGAGAAUUGGGCUGGAGAAAGGUUCACAAGGAGUUGGUUUUAGAGAAUGACUUAAUUCUGGUAAUUUACCAAGCCGUGUACAAGGCUGGGAGAGGCUGCAAGCACAGAGAAGGGUCAGGUGCAGGACAAUUGGGGAAAUUCCCUUCAGAAGAAAAGCCAUACAGAGCACAAACUUGUGUACUGAAGGAACUUCUAAGCAGGGAGUUCUUGGCUGGAAGUAACAGGAGGAGGAAAUGUCCUGUUGCAUGAUUUUUGCUUCUGAAGUCUGCAUUUUCAAGCAGAUUACUAGGAACAUGAGCUCUUUCCUCAGGAAGAGUGAGGAGAUGUGACAGAGGGCAAACACAUCGCUCAGCUGUCAGCAGAUCUUCUCUCUUCUGGUGUGAAGGGGUUGAUCACUCGGCAGCAGAGAAAGUCCUACAUCUGGUGUACACAGAGCACGUCCAUCGCCUGUGCGUCCCUGCUGCCGGCGGGGUGCAGUUUGCACAAACGCUGGUUUGCAGAUGUCAGCCUCCUUAUGUAUUUGGGUUAUCUAACACUGAACCAGAGCUCCAAAGGUGGUCUUGCUCCAGCAGCGUGCAGACUGGGGAGGCGGCUGGCCUGAACAGAUCUGGGAAGGUAUUGCUGCACAGCUGCCGCUCCAAAGCUGACUUUGGUUCUGGUUGUCCUGUUUGGUAGUCACCCUGCAAGUCCCUGGGGGUGUGAGUGGUGGUGACUGCUGCUCUCAGCCUGCAAAGCCUAGUUUCUAAUUGAAAGCUGGUUUCCAUCUCAGCCAGUUUUUCAGCAGUUUAUCUCAACACUUCAUGUUCCUGCUGGCAGAAAAUAUCUGAUAAAUACACAUACCUACUCCAAACGUUUCCUUCCAUAGACUUCUGCACCCUGGGUCAGCCUGGAGCCUCAACUAACGCCACUGCAGGCUUCCAGAGCACCUUCUGGAGGCCGAUUUCCUUCCUCUGUGCUGAAGAAAUGACACUGUGCCCUGCAACACACGCUUUCAAGCAGUGGAGGAAAUGCGGUGUGCUGAAGGGCUGUGCCCUGCUGACUCACAAACGCAUCUCCUAGGUGUGUGUGCAUCUGUGCUCAGCCCCUCAGUGCAAGCGGUAAAGCUUAUUCUGGUGCUGUUUCCUUUCUGACAGCAAUUGCAACGUGCAUAAGUCCAUCAAGCUAAAUGUCCCCCUGUUUUCAAAGCCAAUGCUUCCUUGUACACCUCUGUGCAAUGUGCCUGAAGUGGUGCAUGGCAUCUGUGCAGGGUUCAAGGACAGAUAUCCCCUCAGGGAAGCUACAAAUCCCUUGUGUUGGUGGAUGGUAUCAUAUCUCUAAGAGCCUGUGGCAUGUUUUUUGCAGCCCUUUCGGUGCAAGAGUGCACCCAGCUCUCUUGCUGCAUUGCAAAGAGUGACCCUGGUUACUGUCACUGUACAACAGUUGUACUUCUGAUCCCCACAGUGCCAGUUCCCUGCUUCCUUAGCUGAAGAUACACCAUUUCCUGCGUGUACCCCGCAGGGCAUGCUUAGCAGGUAUUUUAGCUCCUCACACAUUCCCAAAAGCACAGAAACAGCAUUUUAUUCCCAUAUGAAAUCACACUGACAGCUCUCCUGUAUUUUUGCUGCGCUCUGCAAAGUGGCCUUCCUCAACCUCUUUGCAUCCCUGAAGCCAAGGCAUGAGCACAGCUUGCUGUUGUUCUUUUUCCAUAUCUGAGUUACUUACUGAAAUGUUCAUUUCUUUCAAAAUUUUUCUUAGUAAAAUGAUUCUUAGUAAUCAAGAAUUUUCCUUUCCCAGUUGAAGUCCUUCCACAUGCCUUGCCAAAGCACCUUCUGAGUACACAAAGCUCAAGCUGUCCUCUGGGAUGGUGUUUGGUACCUCUGACUCUUAGGACAAAGACUCAUUCUUGUUAUCACAGCAGGGAGAACUGGGAGCCUCUUACCUGUCCACAACCUCAGAAAUCCCACCGCUGCUUCUAAUAACAGCUCCAGUGGCAGAAAACCUUUUGGAUACCAGAGCCAGGAGCCUGGUGCUCAGGGGAAAUCCUGCCGGAUCAACCCAGGGAUAUGGGAGCUGGUGCAGCUGCAAGUUCAUACCCUACAGGUUCUAGGUCCCCGGGUACCAGCAGGCUCUGCUGCCGCACCCUUCCCCCUUGCCUUCUUAGCCCCAAAAUCUUUGGUGCAGUGCUGCUGCUCAUGCUGCGGUACUGCUACAGAGCAACAGUCAAACGUGCAGGCAGCGUUACUCAAACGGAGCCCCGAAGAGCUGGAGGAUCUUUGCCAAUCACCCCACUCUAACCUUGUAAUGAUGGGAUCCAGGCAGCCACUUCAAGGAAGGAGAAGGACCCUGUCACCCAAAUCCUGUCCCUCCAAGGCAGCAUGUCAAAAUGCGGUGAGGAGCUCCCCUGGCACUGGUACAUCACCAGGAAGGCAGGUGAAUUUCUUACGCAGCUCUUCUUUCUCCCUGCCAGUCUUGAGCAUGGCAGGGCUGGCUUGUAGUGCUGACGCUCUGCAGUUUUGCAGCCAGCACCAUUAAUCUGCAGGUCUCUGAGCUUGAGUUAAUUAAAGUUUGCAGUCUCCCUUUGGACUGAAUGAAUGAAAACCCAUUUUGGCUUGAUGGAGAUCUCUUCAGUGCUGCUCACUUAUAGCCUGGUUCUCAGGAACAGAGAGACCUUUUCCCAGCAUUUUAAUGGUAUGAAAGAACCCUAGAGUGCAUGUAACUCACUGCUAACUUCCCUGGGUGUAAUGCAGAAGGUGAUUAAUCAGAUAUAUUUCUGUUUUAAACUGCUGGGGGUACUCCCUCAUUGAAUUUUCCCCAUUUCUUUUCUCGUGCUGUGUCCCCCGGCCUCAGCGGUAACCCAAGUGUCGUGGUUCAGCCCCAGUCGGCAACUAAACACCCCGCAGCCGCUCGCUCACUGCCCCCACCCCUGUGCGACGGGGGAGAGAAUCGGAAGAGCAAACGAACUUGUUGGUUGAGAUAAGCACAGUUUAAUAAUUACAAUAAAAUAAUAAUUAUAAUAAUGAUUUUGAUAAUAACGACAAUAAUGUUAAUGUAAUAAAAUGGAAAAGGAAGGAAAAAAAAGGGAAAAAAACCACAGAAACACGAACGACACAACCGCUCACCACCUGCCAACUGACGCUGCCCGUCCCCCAGCCGCGAUUGCUGCCUCCCUCCCCCCCCACCAGCCCCUACCAGUAACCUACUGGGCAUGACGUUACAUGAUAUGGAAUGUCCCUUUGGCCAGUGUGAAUCCCCUCUCUGGCUGUGCCCCCUCCCCUCCCGGCUGCUCGUGCCCCCGGCAGAGCCUGGGGAGCUGGAGAAGCCCUUGACUAGCACAAGCGCUGCCCAGCAACAACCAAACCAUCGGUGUGUUAUCUCAACAUUUUUUUCAUGCUAAGUUCAAAGCACAGCACGAGGCCACCUAGAGUGAAGAAAGUUAACUCUAUCCCAGCUAAAACCAUGACACAAGAUACCAGGAGAUGUCAAUUUUGUGUUCCUACAAAUAUGUAUAACAUGAAAAACUUUAUCUGUACUUAAAUAUAAAUAUGCCAUUUUUGUGUUUGACAAGUCUUCAUGUCUCCGUGGAAAAUACCUCUGUUGAGAAACAGGAGCAGGACUCAGCUGAUUUUGGUAUUUUCUUGGCUUUUCCAGUCACUUUUGGCCAUCAAUGAUCCCUUUUACAUAUAAAUUAUGUAUUGUUUAAGUCCUGAAACUGUCCCAAAAUGUGGUUGAAGCUUAUUAAGAAAUAUCAUUUAUUUCAAGUUGGAACAGCUCAUAAGAGCCUUCCCAAGGCAAAGCUCAGGUUCCUGUCCUGUCUCCAACCCUGGGAGCUACGAGCCACUCUGAAGCCCACUUCUUGCCUACGCCACCCUUCCAGCCCCCGUCCCUCUGCUCACUGGGCUUUUCCGUUUGCUGUCUGCCAGGCACUGGUACACCUGUGUUACCUACUUGCACCGGGUGCUGUGUGCCCUGGGGGUUCGGCAGGAGUGGACGUACAAACUGGAACCAGUUCUGCUCCUGAGGGACAGAGCCAAUGGUGUCAUUCAUUUCUGUAGCAGACAUGAGAGUAUCUGGAUCUUGCACUUAACGUUUACCAGAUUGUAGGUGUAAUUACCGGAUUAUUGUCAUGUAUUUGACAGAUUGCCUUAGUAGAAGAAGGAUCACGUUAUUUCUGCUGGUGGAGUAAUAAAACCAUUUAUCUUCACAGGGUGUUUGAGGUGUUUGUAAUCUUGGAAACAGAUUUGUGCUUUGAGUAUCCCUAUAACACAUCAGUUAAUGCACGGAACACGGUGUCUGUUGGCAUACAGAAGUCACCUGUAUUUUCCACAGCAUUUUAAAUGAUUGUUUAACAGGCAGGAGAUAGUGGUAAUACUGUAAGAUAAGGUUAAAGUGAAUUAACAGCAUAAGAACGCAUACCAGUGGAGGCAGCUACAAAUACAUCCCUCCCUCUUCCCAUGAUCCAACGUAUGGAUCCAGCAGUGUGCUUAGAGACAGGAGGGGAUAUUUUCCUGAUGACAGAAGUCAGCUGCACCCUGGAUGCUUCUUCCAAGGUGCUGGAGAGAGCUCGUGUGUUUGGAUGACUGCCAGCCCUCACUUGGCUAUGGGUGCUGAGGAGGACAAGGCUCAUCGCCUGUUAUUUUCCUGUGCAAGUGCCCUGUUGUGCAGCAAGAAAUUACUUCACAGGAUCACUUAAUAGGUAGAAUGCAGUCACAGAGUGGGUAUUUAAAGGGCUUCUCUGACAGCCUGUGUAGGGCUGCUGGACACAGUCUCUCUCUCUGUCCACUGCAUUGCUACACCGGUAUCUUUAACUUGGCUUCUAUGUUUGGACUAAAUUUGGGCUCGUUCUUCCUACAUGAAAAGGCACAUCGGUGUCUUGCUGUGCUUAGCUUAGUCUCAGCCCGGUCACUUCCAAGUUUGUCCAUGCAAUUGGAACCUCCUCGUCUGCUCCCAUGGUGCAUCCUCUGCUUGGCUUUAUCACAGCAAAUGCCCUUCCUUGACUCUCGUUUCUCAGCCAGUUCCUGUAUCCUGCCAUGGUACUGCCAGAACUGCCCCUACCCAUCCUGCCUGGUGUGAGGGCAGGGGCAGGGCCUGCCAGGGUGCCUGGCUUCCCACUGGCAUCCUACCAUGCCAGGCAAACAGGGAUGGUGGGGAGCACCUGGCUGUCCUAAAUGAUUCUCUGGAAGUACUAAUGCCUCCAUGGUUUUUCUGUUCCAAGUAAGUGUCUGUCCUGGAUUUGGCUGACAUAAAGUUAAUUUUCCUCCUAGUAGCUGGCACAGUGCUGUGUUUUGGAUUUAGUGUGACAAUAAUGCUGAUAACACACUGAAGUUUGUUGUUGUUGCUAAGUAGCGCUUACACUAGUCAAGGACCUUUCAGCUUCCCGUGCUCUGCUGGGUGCACAAGGAUCUGGGAGGGGGCGCAGCCAGGACAGCUGACCCCAACUGCCCAAAGGGAU